rnacentral:rRNA from 1 species
ACGGGUGAGUAAUGUCUGGGAAACUGCCUGAUGGAGGGGGAUAACUACUGGAAACGGUAGCUAAUACCGCAUAACGCGCAAGACCAAAGAGGGGGACCUUCGGGCCUCUUGCCAUCAGAUGUGCCCAGAUGGGAUUAGCUAGUAGGUGGGGUAACGGCUCACCUAGGCGACGAUCCCUAGCUGGUCUGAGAGGAUGACCAGCCACACUGGAACUGAGACACGGUCCAGACUCCUACGGGAGGCAGCAUG